AUGCAUGAAUCCGGGUUCCAGACAACUCAAAUCAUGGGCUUCUUUGCCCAUAUGUGUGGUGGAUAUCACAAUCUUAACUUCAUAAGAUGGUGGACCCAGCCAUAGGAAAGUUCAUUAUUCUGGAAAGAGGUCACAAAGAAGUUAGUUGGAUGGCCAUGACUUCAUGUGAAUGAAGUGUUCAGCUAAUUAGGAUAAGGUUACAUAUUUUUAGUUUGCUUAUCCACUUUUAUGAUUCUAGUUGUGUUGUCAUAUUAGACCUUAUUAUGGUAGGUUAUUGUGCGGUAAAAAUGGUUCUUAUGUGGUGUUUUACUUAUGAGUGAGACUUGUUUGAACCAAGACUGUUGGUGCUAAGUGCAAGUAGUUUAUUCUAUUUAUGUUGUGGCUUUAUUGUGAUGUUAGAUGUUAUUAAGGCAGGAGAUUGUGGAUAAUAUUAAUGUUUGA